ACAAAACCUUGAUGUGUAUCGAUGCAAUCUAGAUGAUGUGACAGUUAAGAUUCUCUGCGAGAUUCUUCCUAAAUGUCUAUCUAUCAAGUUGCAUUCAGAAAAGCUUACUGAGGAGACACUGGAAUACCUUUGUGAAAAUCUUACUUCACAGCAUCAGGACAUACAACUAAGCAUAUGGGAAUUAAAAAACCUGUUCUUUGUUUCACUUGAAUCGUCAGUAGAAGCUCCAGAGUCCAGGGUACUUUAUGAGAGUCUUUCUGAAGAAUCGAUUGAAUGUUUCAGUGAAAGCCUUACUCCACAUGAGAAGAAC